GAUGAACGCUGGCGGCGUGCCUAAUACAUGCAAGUAGAACGCUGAAGGAGGAGCUUGCUCUUCUGGAUGAGUUGCGAACGGGUGAGUAACGCGUAGGUAACCUGCCUGGUAGCGGGGGAUAACUAUUGGAAACGAUAGCUAAUACCGAAUGACAACAGUUAUUGCAUGAUAACUGUUUAAAAGGGGCAACUGCUCCACUACCAGCUGGACCUGCGUUGUAUUAGCUAGUUGGUGAGGUAACGGCUCACCAAGGCGACGAUACAUAGCCGACCUGAGAGGGUGAUGGGCCAGACUGGGAAUGAGACACGGCCCAGACUCCUACGGGAGGCAGCAGUAGGGAAUCUGCGGCAAUGGACGGAAGACUGAGCGAGCAACGCCGCGUGAGUGAAGAAGGUUUUCGGAUCGUAAAGCUCUGUUGUAAGAGAAGAACGAGUGUGAGAGUGGAAAGUUCACACUGUGACGGUAUCUUACCAGAAAGGGACGGCUAACUACGUG
rnacentral:rRNA from 1 species